rnacentral:rRNA from 1 species
AACGAACGCUGGCGGCAUGCCUAACACAUGCAAGUCGAACGAGACCUUCGGGUCUAGUGGCGCACGGGUGCGUAACGCGUGGGAACCUGCCCUUAGGUUCGGAAUAACUCCCCGAAAGGGGUGCUAAUACCGGAUAAUGUCUUCGGACCAAAGAUUUAUCGCCUUUGGAUGGGCCCGCGUUGGAUUAGCUAGUUGGUAGGGUAAAAGCCUACCAAGGCGACGAUCCAUAGCUGGUCUGAGAGGAUGAUCAGCCACACUGGGACUGAGACACGGCCCAGACUCCUACGGGGGGCAGGAGGGGGGAAAAUUGGGAAAUGGGGGAAAGCCUGAUCCAGCAAUGCCGGGUGGGUGAUGAAGGCCUUAGGGUUUUAAAGCCCUUUUACCCGGGAUGAUAAUGACAGUACCGGGAGAAAAAGCCCCGGCUAAAUCCG